rnacentral:rRNA from 1 species
GUCGGCAGCAGCGUCGAUAUGUGUAUGAGACACAAUGCCGAACUCAGAAGUGAAACGCCGUAGCGCCGAUGGUAGUGUGGGGUCUCCCCAUGCGAGAGUAGGGAACUGCCAGACA